ACUGAAAAUUUUGAAGUUUAAAAACUUGAAACUUGAAAGUUUGGAGAUUUCAAAAUGAAAGAAUUUUGUAAAGUUCAUAUGAAGGGAAACUUGCUCAAUCAACAAUAUAACAAGAGUUUAUUAUAGUCUAACUUACAGAUCUGAAAACAUGAAUUCAAUAUCAUUUUGCACAUCUUAUGAUUGCACGUUCGUCCCUGUAAACUUUUCAACGAGCACAGUUGAUCUACCCAUCACUGAUUUAGAUCAUAAUGUGUUCACGUUAGAUUUUAUACAAAACUAUAAAAGAUCAUUUAAUGUUUAUAAAUUUAUUGCGUAUAAGGCUGAGUAGUAUUACAUAUUGUUUGUUUCCUCUUUGAUUUGCUCACUUAUAUUUAGUUUCUAAUUUAGUGAAUUUAGAAUUUUAUCUUUCAAAAAGACUAAAGAUUUUUUACAUCCUAAAACGAAUUGAUUUUGUAUAUAAUUAUGUACAUACAUGAUAUAGUAAUGCAAAGUAAUAACAUGCUGAAAUUUCAAUUUUAUCACCAUUCUACUGAAGUUUAAAGAAUUUUGUAAAUUCAAACAAAUAAGACAACCAGGCUGCUGAUCAAAUCAAAUGUUGCCAAACAAGUCUUGAAUAGAUUAAAUUAUUUCCUCGUAUUCAAGGACUUCAAGGAAAUACUUAACUCCACAGUGUCAAUAAACUUGCCAAAUGACAUAGAAGUAAUUGUACUCAUAUACAGUUUGAGAUACGUCACAUUUAAUUUUUUGAUCUAUCCUCUAAAUACGUAUACCAUAAUUUGUUAUAGGUACACAGAUAUGUAUCACAAUGCAGAUAACACUAGUCAUUAUGGAUUGUUUAGAAAUUACAAUCUUUUUAUUAUAUUUAUAAAAGAAACUACAACAAAAUAAUAGCUGCUUCAAGAAAUCAGGUUAAAAUUAAAAGCAUCAUAUAGAAUUUACGGAAAGAAGCAUUUUAGUUUUUAUAUACUUAUUAAAAUGAUAAGAAUUUUUUACACAAAGUCAUUUAAUAUGAUACUCGAAUUAAUAGCAUCUUUACAUUAAUUUACGGUUUAAAGAUCCAAGAUAUAUUUUUAAUAAUUGUUCAACUAUUCUUUCCAAAUGUGGGUAGAAUAUACCUUAUUGUACAAAUUUUAAAUGAGAAAUAUUAGGAUAAACGUCCGAAAAAAACUUAUGAGUUAAUCAUCAUUGAAAAUUAAACUUAUGGUGUAUUCAUUUCUUUUUUAUGUGAAUUGUGUUCAGUCAUUUGGAAGUAAGAAAUGAUUUUACCCCAGUGCCAUAUCCUUCAUGUUUUAUGCUCAUGUUUACAAUUACUAGUUAAUUAAUAUUAUACUUCACUCAAUAUGUUUACUUGAAUAUUUUAUCAUAAAAAGUAUACCGAAAUUCAUGGUUUUACUAAACAUCAACAAAUAUACAGUUCAUUUUUCAUCAUAAAACUAUCAUAAUCAAAUUUUACUAUUUCAUGAUAAAACAUUUUUAAUAUAAAUACUACAAAAGUUCAUUACAUGUACAAAGCUUACAAAUAGUUGUAAGUUUUAUAUUUGACAAGAAGAAUGCAAUAUUAUAAAUUCAGAUGUAUACGAUAUUCCUAAGUUCUCACGUCGUUACCAUUUAUUUAUUUAUUCAAUUGAAAAAAAAGUCUGAUAGUUUUAAGUUGUAUGCAGAUAGAUUUAUUAUUUACUGAUUAAUAUUAUGUUAUCAAAUAAUUGCCAACUGCUUUCAAGUGAUACAUGCAAAAUGGAUAUGAUUACUUUUAGAGAAAAUUGUUCUAUGCGGUGUAAAACAUUUGUUAAGAGAAGUCUGACAAAUAUUAAUUUAAUACAGUAACACCAUGUUGAUUUUCUUAUUCAUUAGUGUUCAUCAGAAAAUUCAUUAUUGUGUCUGUGUAGAGCAGUCUGUCAUAUUAAUAAAUAAUAAUAAACUCAUAUUUGCCUAUA